GAUGAACGCUAGCGGCAGGCCUAAUACAUGCAAGUCGAGGGGUAGAGGUUGCUUGCAACCUCGAGACCGGCGCACGGGUGCGUAACGCGUAUGCAACCUACCUUUAUCUGGGGGAUAGCCCGAAGAAAUUCGGAUUAACACCGCAUAAAAUCACAGUAUCGCAUGGUACAAUGAUCAAAUAUUUAUAGGAUAAAGAUGGG
rnacentral:rRNA from 1 species